rnacentral:tRNA from 1 species
GCCCCUGUAGCUCAGCUGGUUAGAGUGUCUCCUUGGUAAGGAGGAGGCCGCGGGUUCAAAUCUCGCCAGGGGCUCCA